GACGAACGCUGGCGGCAUGCCUAAUACAUGCAAGUCGAGCGAACAGAUGAAGUGCUUGCACUUCUGACGUUAGCGGCGAACGGGUGAGUAACACGUAAGGAAUCUACCUAUAAGCGGGGGAUAACAUUCGGAAACGGGUGCUAAUACCGCAUAAUAUCUUCUUCCGCAUGGAAGAAGAUUGAAAGACGGCUCUGCUGUCACUUAUAGAUGACCUUGCGGUGCAUUAGUUAGUUGGUGGGGUAACGGCCUACCAAGACGAUGAUGCAUAGCCGACCUGAGAGGGUGAUCGGCCAAGUUGGGACUGAGACACGGCCCAAACUCCUACGGGAGGCAGCAGUAGGGAAUCUUCCGCAAUGGGCGAAAGCCUGACGGAGCAAUGCCGCGUGAGUGAAGAAGGCCUUCGGGUCGUAAAACUCUGUUAUAAGAGAAGAACAAAUUGUAGAGUAACUGCUACAGUCUUGACGGUAUCUUAUCAGAAAGCCACGGCUAACUACGUGCCAGCCGCCGCGGUAA
rnacentral:rRNA from 1 species